rnacentral:tRNA from 1 species
UGGGAUGUAGCUCAGUGGGAGAGCACAUGCUUAGCAAGCAUGAGGCCCUGGUUUCCAAGCAAAAAACAAUGGGGAGGUAAAUGUAUCUCAU